rnacentral:rRNA from 1 species
UGGGGAAUAUUGGACAAUGGGCGCAAGCCUGAUCCAGCCAUGCCGCGUGAGUGAAGAAGGCCUUAGGGUUGUAAAUCUCUUUCACCCGCGAAGAUGAUGACGGUAGCGGGAGAAGAAGCCCCGGCUAACUCCGUGCCAGCAGCCGCGGUAAUACGGAGGGGGCGAGCGUUGUUCGGAAUUACUGGGCGUAAAGGGCGCGUAGGCGGAGCGUCAAGUCAGAGGUGAAAGGCCUGGGCUCAACCUGGGAACUGCCUUUGAAACUGGCGCACUGGAGUCCGGGAGAGGAUGGCGGAAUUCCCAGUGUAGAGGUGAAAUUCGUAGAUAUUGGGAAGAACACCGGUGGCGAAGGCGGCCAUCUGGUCCGGUACUGACGCUGAGGCGCGAAAGCGUGGGGAGCAAACAGGAUUAGAUACCCCCGUAGUCC